AUGGGUGACUACACAAUCCGGAUAAGCACCAGCUUGAUCGAGCAGCUCGCGCGCGAUGACGAGAAGCAGGUGAAAAGGAGGACCAGGAAACCCAGGCCGAAGAAGGUGGUGGAGCAACCAGAGGAGCCUCAGGACAAUGGCAGGGAAGUGGUGGAAGCCAUACGCGCCGUGGUGGCGGAGAGCGAGAAGGUGCUGGAGAAGCUGCAGAAGAAGGAGGCGGCGAUGCGCGAGGAGCUUACCAAGAGGGCCAAGGAGCUGCAUGACAAGGAGUUCAAGCUGCCCUACCAGAACCCCUCGCCAUGCACCGACGAGAGGGCGGGCUGCGCCGAGUGCUACAGGAGCAACGUGCAGGACCCGCUCAAGUGCGCCGAGGCGGUCAAGAGGUUCGAGGCUUGCGUUCGCAUGGCGAGGCGGGGCGGUGCCACCAUGGGAGCUGCUCAGUAG
rnacentral:rRNA from 1 species